UCGUUGGUGGCGCUCCUCCCUUUUGCGGGCGGUGUAAUCACGCAUACGGUCAUCAGACCUUGCAGAUACCCAGAAGCCCGCCGAGUGCGGGCUUUUUUG
rnacentral:sRNA from 1 species